rnacentral:rRNA from 1 species
UACUCCUACGGGAGGCAGCAGUGGGGAAUAUUGGACAAUGGGCGCAAGCCUGAUCCAGCCAUGCCGCGUGGGUGAAGAAGGCCUUCGGGUUGUAAAGCCCUUUUGUUGGGAAAGAAAAGCAGUCGGUUAAUACCCGAUUGUUCUGACGGUACCCAAAGAAUAAGCACCGGCUAACUUCGUGCCAGCAGCCGCGGUAAUACGAAGGGUGCAAGCGUUACUCGGAAUUACUGGGCGUAAAGCGUGCGUAGGUGGUUUGUUAAGUCUGAUGUGAAAGCCCUGGGCUCAACCUGGGAAUUGCAUUGGAUACUGGCAGGCUAGAGUGCGGUAGAGGGUAGUGGAAUUCCCGGUGUAGCAGUGAAAUGCGUAGAGAUCGGGAGGAACAUCCGUGGCGAAGGCGACUACCUGGACCAGCACUGACACUGAGGCACGAAAGCGUGGGGAGCAAACAGGAUUAGAUACCCUGGUAGUCCACGCCCUAAACGAUGCGAACUGGAUGUUGGGUUCAAUUAGGAACUCAGUAUCGAAGCUAACGCGUUAAGUUCGCCGCCUGGGGAGUACGGUCGCAAGACUGAAACUCAAAGGAAUUGACGGGGGCCCGCACAAGCGGUGGAGCAUGUGGAAUCACUAGUGAAUUCGCGG